CAGAGGUCCCGAGCGUUAGGCGGAAACACUGGGCUUAAAGCGUGUGUAGGUGGAUGGACAAGUACCUUGUGAAAUCCCACGGCUUAACCGUGGAACUGCUUGGUAUACUGUUCGUCUUGAGGCAUCUAGGGGCAACUGGAACAAACGGUGGAGCGGUGAAAUGCGUAGAUAUCGUUUGGAACGCCAAUGGUGAAAACAGGUUGCUGGGGAUGUUCUGACACUGAGACACGAAAGCCAGGGGAGCAAACGGGAUUAGAUACCCCGGUAGUCCUGGCCCUAAACUAUGUCCACUAGACGGUAGUGACUCUCACGUUGUUAUCGUCGUAGCAAAAGUGUUAAGUGGACCGCCUGGGAAGUACGGUCGCAAGGCUA
rnacentral:rRNA from 1 species